CCUACGGGCGGCAGCAGUGGGGAAUAUUGCACAAUGGGGGAAACCCUGAUGCAGCGACGCCGCGUGAGUGAAGAAGUAAUUCGUUAUGUAAAGCUCUAUCAGCAGGGAAGAAAAUGACGGUACCUGAGUAAGAAGCCCCGGCUAAAUACGUGCCAGCAGCCGCGGUAAUACGUAGGGGGCAAGCGUUAUCCGGAUUUACGGGGGGGAAAGGGAGCGUAGGCGGCAGUGCAAGUCUGGAGUGAAAGGCGGGGGCUCAACCCGCGGACUGCUCUGGAAACUGGACGGCUGGAGUGCAGGAGAGGUAAGUGGAAUGCCUGGUGUAGCGGUGAAAUGCGUAGAUAUUAGGAGGAACACCAGUGGCGAAGGCGGCUUACUGGACUGUAACUGACGUUGAGGCUCGAAAGCGUGGGGAGCAAACAGGAUUAGAUACCCGAGUAGUC
rnacentral:rRNA from 1 species